rnacentral:rRNA from 1 species
GGGUUGUGAGGUUAAGCGACUAAGCGUACACGGUGGAUGCCCUGGCAGUCAGAGGCGAUGAAGGACGUGCUAAUCUGCGAUAAGCGUCGGUAAGGUGAUAUGAACCGUUAUAACCGGCGAUUUCCGAAUGGGGAAACCCAGUGUGAUUCGUCACACUAUCAUUAACUGAAUCCAUAGGUUAAUGAGGCGAACCGGGGGAACUGAAACAUCUAAGUACCCCGAGGAAAAGAAAUCAACCGAGAUUCCCCCAGUAGCGGCGAGCGAACGGGGAGCAGCCCAGAGCCUGAAUCAGUGUGUGUGUUAGUGGAAGCGUCUGGAAAGGCGCGCGAUACAGGGUGACAGCCCCGUACACAAAAAUGCACAUGCUGUGAGCUCGAUGAGUAGGGCGGGACACGUGGUAUCCUGUCUGAAUAUGGGGGGACCAUCCUCCAAGGCUAAAUACUCCUGACUGACCGAUAGUGAACCAGUACCGUGAGGGAAAGGCGAAAAGAACCCCGGCGAGGGGAGUGAAAAAGAACCUGAAACCGUGUACGUACAAGCAGUGGGAGCACGCUUAGGCGUGUGACUGCGUACCUUUUGUAUAAUGGGUCAGCGACUUAUAUUCUGUAGCAAGGUUAACCGAAUAGGGGAGCCGAAGGGAAACCGAGUCUUAACUGGGCGUUAAGUUGCAGGGUAUAGACCCGAAACCCGGUGAUCUAGCCAUGGGCAGGUUGAAGGUUGGGUAACACUAACUGGAGGACCGAACCGACUAAUGUUGAAAAAUUAGCGGAUGACUUGUGGCUGGGGGUGAAAGGCCAAUCAAACCGGGAGAUAGCUGGUUCUCCCCGAAAGCUAUUUAGGUAGCGCCUCGUGAAUUCAUCUCCGGGGGUAGAGCACUGUUUCGGCAAGGGGGUCAUCCCGACUUACCAACCCGAUGCAAACUGCGAAUACCGGAGAAUGUUAUCACGGGAGACACACGGCGGGUGCUAACGUCCGUCGUGAAGAGGGAAACAACCCAGACCGCCAGCUAAGGUCCCAAAGUCAUGGUUAAGUGGGAAACGAUGUGGGAAGGCCCAGACAGCCAGGAUGUUGGCUUAGAAGCAGCCAUCAUUUAAAGAAAGCGUAAUAGCUCACUGGUCGAGUCGGCCUGCGCGGAAGAUGUAACGGGGCUAAACCAUGCACCGAAGCUGCGGCAGCGACGCUGAUGCGUUGUUGGGUAGGGGAGCGUUCUGUAAGCCUGCGAAGGUGUGCUGUGAGGCAUGCUGGAGGUAUCAGAAGUGCGAAUGCUGACAUAAGUAACGAUAAAGCGGGUGAAAAGCCCGCUCGCCGGAAGACCAAGGGUUCCUGUCCAACGUUAAUCGGGGCAGGGUGAGUCGACCCCUAAGGCGAGGCCGAAAGGCGUAGUCGAUGGGAAACAGGUUAAUAUUCCUGUACUUGGUGUUACUGCGAAGGGGGGACGGAGAAGGCUAUGUUGGCCGGGCGACGGUUGUCCCGGUUUAAGCGUGUAGGCUGGUUUUCCAGGCAAAUCCGGAAAAUCAAGGCUGAGGCGUGAUGACGAGGCACUACGGUGCUGAAGCAACAAAUGCCCUGCUUCCAGGAAAAGCCUCUAAGCAUCAGGUAACAUCAAAUCGUACCCCAAACCGACACAGGUGGUCAGGUAGAGAAUACCAAGGCGCUUGAGAGAACUCGGGUGAAGGAACUAGGCAAAAUGGUGCCGUAACUUCGGGAGAAGGCACGCUGAUAUGUAGGUGAAGUCCCUCGCGGAUGGAGCUGAAAUCAGUCGAAGAUACCAGCUGGCUGCAACUGUUUAUUAAAAACACAGCACUGUGCAAACACGAAAGUGGACGUAUACGGUGUGACGCCUGCCCGGUGCCGGAAGGUUAAUUGAUGGGGUUAGCGCAAGCGAAGCUCUUGAUCGAAGCCCCGGUAAACGGCGGCCGUAACUAUAACGGUCCUAAGGUAGCGAAAUUCCUUGUCGGGUAAGUUCCGACCUGCACGAAUGGCGUAAUGAUGGCCAGGCUGUCUCCACCCGAGACUCAGUGAAAUUGAACUCGCUGUGAAGAUGCAGUGUACCCGCGGCAAGACGGAAAGACCCCGUGAACCUUUACUAUAGCUUGACACUGAACAUUGAGCCUUGAUGUGUAGGAUAGGUGGGAGGCUUUGAAGUGUGGACGCCAGUCUGCAUGGAGCCGACCUUGAAAUACCACCCUUUAAUGUUUGAUGUUCUAACGUGGACCCGUAAUCCGGGUUGCGGACAGUGUCUGGUGGGUAGUUUGACUGGGGCGGUCUCCUCCUAAAGAGUAACGGAGGAGCACGAAGGUUGGCUAAUCCUGGUCGGACAUCAGGAGGUUAGUGCAAUGGCAUAAGCCAGCUUGACUGCGAGCGUGACGGCGCGAGCAGGUGCGAAAGCAGGUCAUAGUGAUCCGGUGGUUCUGAAUGGAAGGGCCAUCGCUCAACGGAUAAAAGGUACUCCGGGGAUAACAGGCUGAUACCGCCCAAGAGUUCAUAUCGACGGCGGUGUUUGGCACCUCGAUGUCGGCUCAUCACAUCCUGGGGCUGAAGUAGGUCCCAAGGGUAUGGCUGUUCGCCAUUUAAAGUGGUACGCGAGCUGGGUUUAGAACGUCGUGAGACAGUUCGGUCCCUAUCUGCCGUGGGCGCUGGAGAAUUGAGGGGGGCUGCUCCUAGUACGAGAGGACCGGAGUGGACGCAUCACUGGUGUUCGGGUUGUCAUGCCAAUGGCACUGCCCGGUAGCUAAAUGCGGAAGAGAUAAGUGCUGAAAGCAUCUAAGCACGAAACUUGCCCCGAGAUGAGUUCUCCCUGACUCCUUGAGAGUCCUGAAGGAACGUUGAAGACGACGACGUUGAUAGGCCGGGUGUGUAAGCGCAGCGAUGCGUUGAGCUAACCGGUACUAAUGAACCGUGAGGCUUAACCUUACAACGCCGAAGGUGUUU